CCUACGGGUGGCAGCAGUGGGGAAUAUUGGACAAUGGGCGAAAGCCUGAUCCAGCCAUGCCGCGUGUGUGAAGAAGGCCUUCGGGUUGUAAAGCACUUUCAGUGGGGAAGAAAGCCUUGGGGCUAAUACCCUCGAGGAAGGACAUCACCCACAGAAGAAGCACCGGCUAACUCCGUGCCACGCAGCCGCGGUAAUACGGAGGGUGCGAGCGUUAAUCGGAAUUACUGGGCGUAAAGCGCGCGUAGGCGGUCUGAUAAGCCGGUUGUGAAAGCCCCGGGCUCAACCUGGGAACGGCAUCCGGAACUGUCAGGCUAGAGUGCAGGAGAGGAAGGUAGAAUUCCCGGUGUAGCGGUGAAAUGCGUAGAGAUCGGGAGGAAUACCAGUGGCGAAGGCGGCCUUCUGGACUGACACUGACGCUGAGGUGCGAAAGCGUGGGUAGCAAACAGGAUUAGAUACCCCAGUAGUC
rnacentral:rRNA from 1 species